UGUNNNACGGCCGCGGUAUUUUGACCGUGCAAAGGUAGCAUAAUCAUUUGCCUUUUAAAUGGAGGCUAGUAUGAAUGGCAAGACGGAGGUUUAGCUGUCUCUCUUUUAGGAACUUGAAUUUAUUAUCCCCGUGAAGAAACGGGGAUAAAGUCGUAGGACGAGAAGACCCUAUCGAGCUUUAGCUAUAAAGUUAAAGUUAAAAGUUUUUUAUUUGUUGGGCUAAUAAAGUUAAGAAUUAAUUUUACCUAGAAAUAAAAAUAAAUUUUUAACAAGGUGCUUUGGUUGGGGCAACCGCGGAGAAAAAUUACCCUCCGCUUAUAAAAUAUAAAAACUACUGUUUUGUAAAAUCUAAAUUAUUAGUAAGUGAUCCACUGUGAAAGUGAUCAAAGGAAUAAGUUACCGUAGGGAUAACAGCGUAAUUUUUUUGGAGAGUUCAUAUUGAUAAAAAAGUUUGCGACCUCGAUGUUGGAUCGGGACUUCCAGGAGAUGCAGCAGUUCCAAG
rnacentral:rRNA from 1 species